CGGCGGUGACGUCAUGCUGCUGCUGGCCGCGCCGGGACCGCCUGAGGGGGCGGCCGUGCCCGGGGAAGCCGCGGGAAGGGCUCUGCUCCCUCCGCAGGAAGAGUUCACGGCCAUCGGUCUGCCUCUGCCUCGUCCUGGGAAAUCUACCAUCAUCUGCUCCUGUACCCAGGAAUCCUGAGCUCGUUUUCUUCAGCCUCCUCCCACCGCUGCUGUUUCUUCGGAGCUUUGAGGCUUUCCUGCUACUCUGUGUCCCUGCCCUGCCCAGCCCUGCCGGGACACCCCUGCUGCUCCAGCUGCCAGCGCAGAGCUCCUCAUCUCAUCCACCAGCCCGGGACUUUCCUCCCUUCCAGCUCGGCCUCUCGGAGCCCUGCAGGGGCACCGAGAUCAAACUGCCCCAGGCUUUUGUGAAAGAAAGCCCUCAAGGUUCUCGGUUCUGUUUAUUACUAAUGCAGUAGUUGUUUGUUUGUUGUUUUGUCAUAUAUACUAGUAAAGAACUGUUAUUCCUAUCCCCAUACCUCUGCCUGAAAGCCCCUUUAAUUUUCUAAAUUAGAAUAACUUGGAGGGAGGGGAUUCAAAUUCUCCAUCUCCAGGGAGGUCCUGCCCCCUCCCUAGCAGAUACCUGUCUUUCAAACCAAGACAAUGUUGAAGAGAAUGGGGCCAAGGAUGGAACCCUGAAGAACCCCAUCAGUGACGGACCCACUCGUGAUGUCGCCCCAUUCAGUAGAGCCCUUUGUGCCUGACCCAUGAGCCAGGCACAUGCUGUGUUUACCCAGCUGAGCGCUGGGCAUUUUGUCCAGUGGAAUACUGUGAGAGACGGUAUCAAGAGCUUUACUGAAUCUUCUCCAUGGUUUUAUCAGGCAUUGAAGUGAGACUGACAGGCCUGUAGUGUGCAUGGUCAUCAGUCACCAUGAGAUCUUCCUAGCUUGCUGAGCGUUCAUAUUAAAGUAGAAGGUUUGCACCUUCUCACACUCCUUUCAUGUAAACACCAGCUAUGUUCUAUAAACACAGUCAUUGUUUUCACAUUCCAUGCUGGGACAGACAAGACUGGGUGACAGUCCCCUUGACCAGCGUGGUGAGAGGUGGGAAUGCCCACUCUCCAAUCCAUGGGCACCUUGCUAGAAGUACAUAAUAGGAAGUAAUAAACAAAGCAGGAGGAUUUCUCCCCUGCUGCUCUGAUCUCCCCAAACUCCGGCUCUGUGUGUCUUUCUGGCGAGGCUCACAGCGACAGUCAUCCUUCUUGCACUUCUUCAAAACUGGGACAGUAUUUGCAGCUUUUGGUAGACUGAGCCUCUCCAGAUUCCCAAGAUUCAGAAGUCACUGAGAGAAGUCUCAUAAUGGCACCAGCCAGCUCUUUGAGUAUUCUUGCAUGAAUCCCAUCAGGCCCUGUUAGAGGGAUCCAGCUGAAAAAGCAAAUCCUGCACAAAUUCAGGGUUGACCAGGAGUUUAUCAUUUUCACAGUCAUGAGAAAUCAGUUUAACACAGAACAAAGCGUCAAACAUAGAAUGAUUUAGUGAUCUGCUCAGAAUACUUCUCCAUGACAUGGAAUUCUUCUAAGUACAGUAAACACUGCAAAUGCCAGGUUUUAGAUGCAACUCCUCAGGGCUAGGUUGUAAAAGAAAAAUCGAAGUUUACGAGUAUAACAUUAGAUCUCAAUGCUGAAGCAGGAUUUUAAAAGCUAUUUCCCACUGAAGCAUUCCCAGCCGUGUUGAGGGCCUAGCAGGGCCUAUAAACCUUGUAAGAGUACAAGGAGCCCACUGAAGCCCCAGAGCAGCACAGGAGCAGAAUGCUCUGUGUUUGGAAGACUGUCUGCAGAAAGGAGCUUUUAUGAGGCUCCUCACAUACACACCAGUCACUAACUGAGCUCUCAUAAUCCAGACACAGAUUCUUCCUUGUGUACUAUGAAACAGGGAAAUGGGAAUUAUCACACUAGGUGGAGCAUUUUUAAGAACUGGGAGUUAUGGUAUGUUAGUAAAUAUAUUAUGCCAUUAUUUAUAUUAAUUGUGAGUACUAAAAGGCUGCAACUUCUUUCAGUUUGGGUGACCUGGAGCUAUAAAGCCACCAGCUGAGAGUUAUAAAUGUCUGUCAUUGCAAGACAUCAAUUGGUCAUAAAAAUAGUCAGAGCAUUUACUUCUCUUUAAUGGAAAUUUGAAAAAGUUGCUCUGGAUCCUGCUUUCCUGUCAAAACUCUCUCAUUUCCCUCUUAGCACUGCCAUACUAAACUAUAGGGUUCCCAAACUCCACACUAUGACACAGAAGGAAACUAGACAUGAUGAAAAUUCUCAGAAACACACAAAAGUCUUCAGCAGCCUAAAAACAAAAAACGUGUUUUGACUUUGCAUAACAGCACCAUUCACUAACAAAAGCUUCUCAUUUUUGACUUUUACUUUUUCUGUCUUACCCUUUUAGCCAGUUUUCUCUACAAGGCAAUAAAAGAAUCUCAUAAACUGGCCUUGAAUAUUAAGAGGUGAAUGAAGCUGAAAUAACUUCAACACAGGAGUCUACCAUAAGAGAUUAGGGCAAAAAGAGGGACUUUAUGCAAAUAGAUGUAUUUGAAGAGACAGAAGUUCGACCCAUUUGCCUUCCAGUGCAAACCAAACAAACUUUUCAAAAUUACUGCUGUAUAUGAGAAAUUAAUUUCAGAGAGAAAAGGAGUCAAAUUUACCUUCUUAUUUAGAAAUAAAGGUAGAAACAGAAUUAAUCUCAUCUACAGAUGAGAUUUAUUAGCUUAGUAAUUAGCUUAGUUUUCAUUUUUAGGUAAUGACUAAAAAUACUAUUCAAGAAGAACUCAUCCCUUUUAAACAGGUCAAUAAAAAAUUAGGCUUAAUGGGAAGUUCAGCAUGCUUCAUUAUACCCAAUAAAGACAGUGGUUCUGAUUUUAUAUAACAGCUUUAUUAUCAAAUGGCAAGAGAGUUAGUAAUGAUGUCAUGCAGGUAUCACAAAAGAAAGUUCCAAAAGAUAAACAGGUCACCUAACAGCUCAAAAUCCCUUGCAAUUAAAAAACAAAGCUACAUCUUUCUGAUGUCCUGGUUUGUUUCAUGGCAGCUGCUAUUUUUCUGUCCAAAUGUUAUGGCUAUCUCUUGGAUCACCUGCUGGAUUCCCUAAAGGGAACAGUAGGCUAGGACAGCACCCAGUGCUUUUUUUGCUUUCCACAAGGCCUGCCUUACUCUGCACAACCCUCAGAAGUCCCCACAGGAUAGGAAAGCACCUCAGGCUGCUGGCAGCUGAAGAUAAACACAGAAGGGAUGGGUUAAAAAAAUGCUAAGGUUUUUAAAAAGCAAAGAACCCUAUUUUGAACCUUUUUAAGGUCUUAAGGCUUUUAGUUAUCAUGAUGGGAGGCCAGGCUUGUGGCUGAAACACAACAGGUUUUCAGUAACAAAGCCUGAUCCCGUCUCCAUAGGGAAACAGAACUCAGUGAAAAUGUCAAGUGACAGCACGAGUCUUGUUAGAUUGAGAGAGAGUUCAGCUCCUUCUUUGGUUCCACCAAGACAUUGGCUUCACACAGCAUGGGAAGGGUUUUACAACAGCUUCUGUUACUGACCAGGAAUUGAGGCAAAUUUUGAGAAAAGCCACUGGAAAAUAAGUAGUAGGUAAUUUAUUCUGAGAGUUCAUCUGCACAAAAAGUUAACUCUGCAGAAAAGUAGGCUGUAAAUCUACAGCAGCUUCACACUCAGUAGUUUGGGGAACACUUGCUCACAUGGCUCACUUCACAUCCAAGUUUACUGUGGAAUAAAUCCCCUGGGUAGAGGAGCUCUGGAGAUUAGAAUGGUAGCAAUAAAAGUAAUCACUGUUUAGUUUUAAAUGCCAAAGUACACUUCUAGAAUAAAUUCUAAAUAACAAAAGAAUUGCUGAAGCUGAAUGAUCUUACAAUAAACCUGCAAACAGAAUUGAUAUAAAUUCAUUUAUAUACUUACAUAAAAAAUAUCAUUUACUGUGCAGCCUGGAUUUAAAUAAAAGACAAAUGGUGUAUCAGUAAUAUUUACGAUAUAUUUACAAGUAACACUGUGAUGAAACAAAGCAGUCAAUUAAAAUUAUGUUACAAAAAUGAAUAAACCCUUUAAAGGUACCAGUCAGUACCUUUUACAUUAUCACAUUUAUGAACUGUUCUCUUAGAGCUCAAAGAUCUAUGAUAUGAUCAUGAGUUAACACAAGGACACAGACUAAAAAACCCUGGAACUGGAGCACGUGCUGAGGUGUUGAGUCUCUGUUCAGCAAGACACUGCAGGGGCAUCAGCUUCAAACCACGUGAGCAGCGCUGGUUUCAGCAGAUAAAACACCAAUGUGCUCCCCAGUUCCUCACUGCCCAGGGCCUGGUUUGACACAG